AACGAACGCUGGCGGCAUGCCUAACACAUGCAAGUCGAACGAGACCUUCGGGUCUAGUGGCGCACGGGUGCGUAACGCGUGGGAACCUGCCCUUAGGUUCGGAAUAACUCCCCGAAAGGGGUGCUAAUACCGGAUGAUGUCUUCGGACCAAAGAUUUAUCGCCUUUGGAUGGGCCCGCGUUGGAUUAGCUAGUUGGUAGGGUAAAAGCCUACCAAGGCGACGAUCCAUAGCUGGUCUGAGAGGAUGAUCAGCCACACUGGGACUGAGACACGGCCCAGACUCCUACGGGAGGUAGCAGUGGGGAAUAUUGGACAAUGGGCGAAAGCCUGAUCCAGCAAUGCCGCGUGAGUGAUGAAGGCCUUAGGGUUGUAAAGCUCUUUUACCCGGGAUGAUAAUGACAGUACCGGGAGAAUAAGCUCCGGCUAACUCCGUG
rnacentral:rRNA from 1 species